CGUGUAGGCGGCCAGAUAGGUCGGUUGUGAAAACUGGAGGCUUAACCUCCAGACGUCGACCGAAACCAUCCGGCUAGAGUCCGGAAGAGGAGAGUGGAAUUCCUGGUGUAGCGGUGAAAUGCGCAGAUAUCAGGAAGAACACCCGUGGCGAAAGCGGCUCUCUGGGACGGUACUGACGCUGAGACGCGAAAGCGUGGGGAGCGAACA
rnacentral:rRNA from 1 species